GAACCUUGAUGAAGCAUUGGUUAGAGAGGGAGAGAGAAAGAGAUUAAACCUACAAAGCCAUUAGUCCUUCAUCCCCAACUUAAUGUUUUUAACUUUAACUGACAACUGUAAUUUCUGCUCCUCAAUAUCUUUCAAAACUGAAAGCAAGUUUGACCGAUACACUUCAGACUUUCGUCGUGCACGCUCAAGCUUACGCUGUAGUUUUUGAAUUUUCUUAUCCUGGUCAUCCAUAGAUGCAGGCUGUUCUAAACUCCAUUGCUGAGUUCCAUAAGUCUCAUUUCCCUGAUUGGGAAGAUCUUUUGUGCCAGGUCCAUUUGUAAUUGCAACUUUCCCACCAGCCUUUUUUGAAAGAGACACUUUAUUUGCUGCCUCUUGUAAAGCAUCCAUAGCGACAUUGU
rnacentral:misc_RNA from 1 species